rnacentral:rRNA from 1 species
UGGGGAAUUUUGGACAAUGGGGGAAACCCUGAUCCAGCCAUCCCGCGUGUGCGAUGAAGGCCUUCGGGCUGUAAAGCACUUUUGGCAGGAAAGAAACGUCGCGGGUUAAUACCCCGCGAAACUGACGGUACCUGCAGAAUAAGCACCGGCUAACUACGUGCCAGCAGCCGCGGUAAUACGUAGGGUGCAAGCGUUAAUCGGAAUUACUGGGCGUAAAGCGUGCGCAGGCGGUUCGGAAAGAAAGAUGUGAAAUCCCAGAGCUUAACUUUGGAACUGCAUUUUUAACUACCGGGCUAGAGUGUGUCAGAGGGAGGUGGAAUUCCGCGUGUAGCAGUGAAAUGCGUAGAUAUGCGGAGGAACACCGAUGGCGAAGGCAGCCUCCUGGGAUAACACUGACGCUCAUGCACGAAAGCGUGGGGAGCAAACAGGAUUAGAUACCCUGGUAGUCCACGCCCUAAACGAUGUCAACUAGCUGUUGGGGCCUUCGGCCUUGGUAGCGCAGCUAACGCGUGAAGUUGACCGCCU